AUUCGGCCAUUUUUACACGCUUCACACGCUGUUUGCGCAGUUCGUGGAAGUUGCAGAAGAUGUGUUCAUCGCAUUUCAACAUACGUUUACCAACGAUCGUCUUCAACGGGUGACAAUUCUUUCUUAACGUUCAGAAAUGACGGAUACUUGACAGGCAGUAACAUGUCAGAACGUCCGGUUUUAGAUCAGUACAUUACCAUUGACGACACAUUCACUUCCAGUUACGAAGACCCAGUGAAAGAAACCUAUCUCAACCCCAUAUCUGGUCUCUAACUGAAAUGAUGCUAAUUCAAGAACAUGUUAUCCUUCGUAUUUGAUUUGAAUUUUUUGAUUUAUUAAACUUGAUAUUAAGUCAGUGACCAUUUA